AAAAGUCAACGUCCGGCAGGAGGCGACCUCGUACUAUAAAGACUGAUCUGUUUAUGUUUGUGGCUUUACAAUCCAAAAGCAUAGAUAUAUCGUUGACGCAGCUUUUAUUUUGAGGAUAAUUUGCUUUCAACUAUAAUGACUGAACGGGACUUGAAAGAUCCGACAGGGAAAGUAGUGUUUCGUGCUGUUGAGUAUGAUGGAACUCGCUUUCCUGCAAUUAUAUUUGGGAACAUUGCCAAUCAACUGAGAGAACUCAAUGGAAUGACUUUCAAGGAGAGUGAUGUCUUUGUUGUAGCAUAUCCAAAAUCUGGAACUCACUGGUGUUAUGAAAUCGUGGCCAUGCUUAGAAAUAACAGUUCAGAGCUCACUAAACAAUCGCCGCCUUUGAUUGACAGGCUACCUGUAGAGAAACUCAGGCAGGUGUCCGAUGGGGUUCGAGUGUCCCAUCUUUUGCCCCGACAUAUGCCCAGAGAUUCUAUCGAAAGGCGGUGUAAAAUCAUUCACAUUUACAGGAACCCAAAAGAUGUUGCCGUCUCGUAUUUUAACUUCCUGAAGAAGACCAAAGAAGGAGAGCUCAUAAAGGACAUGAAGUUUGAUGUGUUCUUCCAAAUGUUUAUCACAGACCAGUGUAUUAUUAAUUGUUUUGAAGAGAGAGAGAGAGAGAGAGAGAGAGAGAGAGAGAGAGAGAGAGAGAGAGAGAGGGUUAAAUUGUAGAUAUAUUUUAUACAUAUUCAGUACUAUAUAUCAACAGAAAAAAAAAAUUAAAGUAGGUUUUGUACGUGAGGGAGGGAUAGGCAUAGUUAAUUUUUCAGUUAGUAUGAUAUUUAAAGCAAAAAGAAAUAGUUAAAAAUUAAAUAUGCGUAAAAAAAAUAUGACUAAUGCUUGUUAAUUUAAAUGUGAGAUAUAAGAAAUUUAGACUGGGAAGAACAUUUUUUGUUGUCCCAGUGGAAGAAAUUUUUUAUAGGAUAUAUAUAUAUAUAUAGGAUAUAGGAAAACAUUCAAAUUUUAAACUCAAAUAAUAUGUAAUAUUUCUUUACUAAAUAACAUUUUAUAGCUAAUCAUUUUGAAAAACAUGAGCUAAAUCUGACUUUAACUCUAUUGCUUUGUUUUCUUUUUAUAAAGUACAUCGAGGUUCUUGGAUAGAUUACGUCAAGGAAUGGACAGAUUUCAAAGAAGAAAAUGUUGAAUACCCGUUACUGAACAUCUGUUACGAGAACAUGAAAAAGGACCUCAGAGGACACGUUAAAAUCAUUGCAGACUUCCUUGAAGUGAAACCAAGUGAAGAAUUAAUGGACAAAAUCGCUCACAAAUGUGAAUUUCAAACUAUGUCUGCUUUUAAACACAAUAACAUUCCGGAUAGCAUGUGCAGGAUAACCGAAGUACGGGACAAACAUAUCAUGUACAGAAAAGGAGAAGUUGGCGACUGGAAAAACUGGUUGACAGUCGCGCAAAGUGAAGCAUUAGAUGAGAGAAUCCAAGCAAGAAACCUACCUUUGGAGAUACAUUAUUCCUGAUAAAAUAUAAUUCAACCAACCAAUUAUAAUUGUGCAAACAGUCAGCAUACAACCUUGGAUUUUGAGAGUAGUUCUAUUCUUUUUUGCCAAACAGUGAGAUUAUUGUUUUUAGAGCUUACAUUGCCUCGUUUUGUACAAUAAAUGAUGAUACAUAUAUUCAGGAGGCUAGAUGAUUAACAAAUUACCCAUCAGAUCUAGAAAACAAGUAACAAUAUGGUGACUACAUGUCUAAAUAUAGUAUUAUUUAGUAAAGAAAAAAUCAAUGUAGUAUAUUAUAAAAACUCAACAUUUUCCUAUGUGUACGUCUUUAUACAAGGGUCUUCUUAUAAAGAAGAUGAAUAAAGUCUAAAAUAAA
rnacentral:misc_RNA from 1 species